UACGAAGGGGGCUAGCGUUGCUCGGAAUCACUGGGCGUAAAGCGCACGUAGGCGGAUUGCUAAGUCAGGGGUGAAAUCCUGGAGCUCAACUCCAGAACUGCCUUUGAUACUGGCGACCUUGAGUCCGGGAGAGGUGAGUGGAACUGCGAGUGUAGAGGUGAAAUUCGUAGAUAUUCGCAAGAACACCAGUGGCGAAGGCGGCUCACUGGCCCGGUACUGACGCUGAGGUGCGAAAGCGUGGGAGCAACAGGG
rnacentral:rRNA from 1 species